AAGAGUCCAUAUCGACGGGAUGGUUUGGCACCUCGAUGUCGGCUCGUCGCAUCCUGGGGCUGGAGUCGGUCCCAAGGGUUGGGCUGUUCGCCCAUUAAAGCGGUACGCGAGCUGGGUUUAGAACGUCGUGAGACAGUUCGGUCCCUAUCCGCUGUGCGCGUAGGAGUCUUGAGAAGGGCUGUCCCUAGUACGAGAGGACCGGGACGGACGAACCUCUGGUGUGCCAGUUGUUCUGCCAAGGGCAUGGCUGGUUGGCUACGUUCGGGAGGGAUAACCGCUGAAAGCAUCUAAGCGGGAAGCCUGCUUCGAGAUGAGGGCUCCCACCCACUUGAUGGGGUAAGGCUCCCAGUAGACGACUGGGUUGAUAGGCCGGAUAUGGAAGCACGGUAACGUGUGGAGUUGACCGGUACUAAUAGGCCGAGGGCUUGUCCUCAGUUG
rnacentral:rRNA from 1 species